ACGGGGGGAGCAAGCGUUGUUCGGAUUUACUGGGCGUAAAGGGCGGGUAGGCGGCCACCGCAAGUCAGUUGUGAAAUCUCUGGGCUUAACCCAGAAAGGUCAACUGAUACUGCGGGGCUAGAGUGCAGAAGGGGCAACUGGAAUUCUCGGUGUAGCGGUGAAAUGCGUAGAUAUCAGGAGGAAUACCGAUGGCGAAGGCAGGUCUCUGGGCUUACACUGACGCUCAUGCACGACAGCGUGGGGAGCAAACAGGA
rnacentral:rRNA from 1 species